UUCUUGGGGUACUCUCUUGGUCCGAAAAUGGUG
rnacentral:sRNA from 1 species